GUACUCGCCUCAGCAGUACAUAUACUAAAAUUGGAAUGAUAUGGAGAAGAUUAACAAGGCCCCGACGCAAAGAUGGCUAAAUAAACCGGGAUUUAGAAACAUUUUUC